CUCGUGGCGGUGCUUCGCUCCUCGCCGGCCGCCACCUAUCCGCGACGCCUCGGCCCGCCCCUACAGCGGCCCAACUUGUCUGGAGUUGAAGUCCUGAGCGCCUGGCCCCUGCAUUCGGCCAACGGAGAACCCCGCAACGCCGCCUCGCCUCCGGGAUCCCCCGCUCCGCUCGUCUCCGCUCCCUCGAAGCCAAAAGUUGGCUUCGAGGAAGCGGCUCCUCAGCCCAGUUAAGCGCGCUCCUAGCCGGGGCGGGGCUCUCGGCCACCCGCGCCCCAGGAGCCUGAGGCGGCGGCUCUGCCGGGUCCUGUGGUGCCAGAGUUCCUCCCCUGGUAUCCUCUCACCAGUCGCUGCGAGUACGGGCUCCUGGCCCCGCCUCCUCGUCCCAGAGCGGUGCAAGGGGAGCAGGUGCAGAUGGAGCAGGGGUAGAAGACCCGGGGUCUUUGGGCGGCGGGCGCGGAGCCUCUAGAGCGAGCGUGAGAAGAAGCCACAGGCUGCCCGGGUGGAGGAGGGAGGCUGACAGCACGGUGGCGGCGCCAGGGACCCCGCCGCACAGAGGCAGCUCCGCUGUCCAGGCCGCCAGCCGGGUCCUGAUGAAGAAUGCAAGUGUAAUGUGGCCUGGAAGGCAAGAUGCUACUGAAUAAAACAAAGCAUAUGUGGAGAUAUUUGCUGAGCACCUAGUAUGUUCCAGACACUGACUAGGAGGUGUAUGUGAACUGGUACCAAAAGUUAUGAACAUUUGUGUAAGGCAAUAGAAGAUGCAUGUCAUCUGAUGACAAAACUGCUCAAUAAGUAAAGGUUGUAGACAGAAUUUUUGUUUUGGCUGCAGCCUGCGUUCUCUGUCAGGGACCUCCGUGUUGGGAGAGAAGCAUGGAGGUUGGGCACCGAGCUCCUGGGUUUGAGAAGAACCUAUACAAAUUACCUUGUUAUCCAGGAAGAUGUACAGAAGCUACCAUUUGCUUUCACCUUGCUGGCUGCUGACCCUAAAGAAGUAGCACAGACACCAUGGACACUCACCUUAAGAUAGUGCUACUGAGUUAAGUUAUCAGAGCAGCAACACCAGCAACUACAAUCAGGGGCCAAAGGCCAGAAACCAUGGAUGAGAAAGACCACCCCUCCUGCCCAGUCCUCUUCUGUGCUGCUGGGUUUUCUCUGACAGGAAUGCAUGCAUUUCUUCAGGAGCCCCGUAGCCAAGAGCACAGCAGUUUUCUUGGAACCAGAGGCAGAAGGCUCCUGCUCCCUUGUGACUCAUAUUCUCACUCAGCACCCAAGCAUGUCUUUAUUUGGUGAAGUUCACAGCCUUUCCCUUCCUGCCUCAGCAGCUACUGUCCCAGCCUCAGCCCCAGUCAUGAAAAGUGUGGUUGCUAUGUGGAUCAUGUCUCAGGCAAUUCAGAAAGCCUUUCAGAGAACAGAACUUUGGAUUUGACUGUGACUUCGGCUACGACUCUCUCUUUCUCCUAGAAAACUAUUGUGUUGGAUGAAGCAAGAAGGUGCAAGCUGUAAUACUGUCAUGAAAGCCAAAGGCUGAGGAAGAAGUUGCCAUUCCUCCUUCCUGUUUACCACUCCAAGAUAUAUUUCCUGAAUCCUUUUUAGAGUUAUUGGUAUCCUAGCUUUAUACAUAUACCCUGGUAUUUGAAUACAUAUACUGGUGCUCACAGCAUUGGCUUAAAGUUAGUGGUUCUACUACUCUCUAGCUGUAUGACUUGGGCAUUCAGUUCUCUCUGAGCCUCAACUUCCUCAUCUUUAUGAUGGGAAUGGUCAUGUCUGUCUGCUUGCCUGGUCAAGUAAAAUCUCAGCUUCAUAUUUCUGAUACCUUAGGGUCCCCUACCUGAGUAGGAAGCUUACAUGUUACUUAACACAGCUUUUGCUGCUAAAGAUGACCAUUCCUUCAUCAGCCUCCUGGACAGAUGAUCCUCUAGUGUCAAGACUGACCUCUGAAGGGUUGGGAAGCUGCCCUCCUCAGGAGCUCAGAUAGUAAGUUGUUCUUUGUGCUGAUCUGAAAUCUGAACUCUCCAGUAACUUUUGCCUGCUGGUUUCUGUGUCUGGAUAACAGGACAUUUAACCUCAAAGUCUUCUGUAUACUGAAGACUACUGUAAAAAGUACCGUUAUUUUUUAAGCUGGAUAUCAAGUCAUCUUUUCAGCUCCUUUGCCUGCUCUGCCCUUGGGGUUCUGAUCUGGAUUGACUGCAUGGAACAGAACAUGGUGCCAGGUGUUCUUGAACAUUCUCAAUGGUCUUUGUAGCAUUGGUAAUAAAACAUUCCCUGAUGACCCUAGAAGCAAGUCUGAUUAUUACUAAUGGUAACUGUCCCCACCCAUAGUGAGUCUGCUCAAAUCCCAGAGCCAUGAUUGGCAAAUCAUGUUUCUUAAUAUUCUUUAAAUUAUUUUUAAC